GCCCAGGUGGCGGAAUUGGUAGACGCGCUAGAUUCAGGUUCUAGUGGCUGAAAGGUCGUGGAAGUUCGAGUCUUCUCCUGGGCACCA
rnacentral:tRNA from 4 species